GUGGGGAAUAUUGGACAAUGGGCGAAAGCCUGAUCCAGCCAUGCCGCGUGUGUGAAGAAGGUCUUCGGAUUGUAAAGCACUUUAAGUUGGGAGGAAGGGCAGUAAGUUAAUACCUUGCUGUUUUGACGUUACCGACAGAAUAAGCACCGGCUAACUUCGUGCCAGCAGCCGCGGUAAUACGUAGGGUGCGAGCGUUAAUCGGAAUUACUGGGCGUAAAGCGUGCGCAGGCGGUGAUGUAAGACAGAUGUGAAAUCCCCGGGCUCAACCUGGGAACUGCUUUCAAAACUGCUGAGCUAGAGUACGGUAGAGGGUGGUGGAAUUUCCUGUGUAGCGGUGAAAUGCGUAGAUAUAGGAAGGAACACCAGUGGCGAAGGCGACCACCUGGACUGAUACUGACACUGAGGUGCGAAAGCGUGGGGAGCAAACAGGAUUAGAAACCCCAGUAGUCC
rnacentral:rRNA from 1 species